GAUGAACGCUAGCGGCAGGCCUAACACAUGCAAGUCGAGGGGUAGCAGGAUUAAGCUUGCUUAAUUGCUGACGACCGGCGCACGGGUGCGUAACGCGUAUGCAACCUACCUUAUACUGGGGUAUAGCCCGGAGAAAUUCGGAUUAAUCCCCCAUAGUACUAAUGAAUCGCAUGGUUUAUUAGUUAAAGCAUUGCGGUAUAAGAUGGGCAUGCGUCCUAUUAGCUAGAUGGUGAGGUAACGGCUCACCAUGGCUACGAUAGGUAGGGGGCCUGAGAGGGUGGUCCCCCACGCUGGUACUGAGACACGGACCAGACCCCUACGGGAGGCAGCAGUGAGGAAUAUUGGUCAAUGGGCGCAAGCCUGAACCAGCCAUGCCGCGUGCAGGAAGAAUGCCCUAUGGGUUGUAAACUGCUUUUAUUUGGGAAUAAACCUCUUUACGUGUAGAGAGCUGAAGGUACCAAAUGAAUAAGCACCGGCUAACUCCGUGCCAGCCGCCGCAGUAAAAC
rnacentral:rRNA from 1 species